UUCAGACUUUGCUCAGCCAUUCAAAGGGUCGCUUCUGAUGGACUGUUUAAUCAUACAGCUGAUAUUGAAGGUUUUAUUUCUGCUAUUGAUGUCCCCCUUAAAAUAACUGAACCUGCAGUGUGACCUGUGUCCAGUAGUGCAGCUUCAUGUCACCCAGACCCGGACAGACACAGCCCUACAGCAGCUCCCACACCUAAACCUGAAAUUCUGGCUCCAUCACUGUCCUUCAUCGCUGUGGCCAUGCCAGGCUCGGUCAGCUGGUUUACAUCACAGGUACAGCAAAUAAAACCCCACAGAUGCGUUUAUUUCAGCCAUUUAUUUGCAUCUCUGUGGAAGAAGCGGUUUCACACUUUAGCAGUGAGCUUUAUCGGCUGAGGUCCCAACCACUUCUCUCCUGAAAAAGAAGGAUGGGAUAUGGUGGCCAUGUGAUGACACACUGGGUGCAGCGCUCCUGUCCUUCAGCAGAUAGGUUCUGCUAAACAUGUGUAAGGCAGCCAGAGCAUUUCUAAACAUGGUUACAUAUUCAGGGAGAUAACAUUAAUUUAAGAAAAAAUAAAUACCAUGAACAUGAGAAUAUGUUAGAGUCCUGAGAUAUGGAUGAAAUGAAAUGAUUAAAUUAAAUAAAAAAAUUAUCUUUACCGGAAUGUCUUUCAAGUUUAAGAGCACAUUCAAAAAUUUCACUUACCAAUUUUCACUACAUUAAAUGCAGUUAGUAAAUUUAACAUAGUGUAGGAUGUGACGAGUCAGGUUUUACGUAAUAUCAAUUUUUGAUUUCUUAGAAAAAUUGAGGCAUGUUUUGUUUAAAUAAUUUGAACCUGGAAUUUUACUCGGCACUAUUUAAAAACAAAUUAUCACUAUUUGCAUUUCCGAAUACAGUGAGUUUCAGUGACUUGCUUUCAUUUCAAAUUAAUUACUCUGAAAUCAGUAAUGUCACCGAGUUACUAAAAUUUCCGUAACAAUAGCAGUUCUGUAACUGUACUCCAGAGAACUUCACUAAUGUCAAGGAUGCUCGGAUGACUGACCUCUUAAGAAAGUGACAAUGUGACGAGAAACAAACUGAGUGACGAUUUCAGGGUAAUCACCUAUGCAGUGGGCCAUGAGCUCGAAUCGGUCAGAUCCAAAAAACAUCUCCCGCUUUCCGUCUACGUGACACACGAUGAGGGGAAAGCCAAAGGCCUACAGCAGAAACAUGGCUGAGGCAACCUCAACAACAUCAGAGAUAAGCAGCACUGAGACAGGUUCUUGUGACACAAGGUGCACAUUCAUUUACAAGACAUUUUUGUCCAAAGUGAUGUACAAGUAAGGAUCAAAGAGCAGGGUCAUACAGUCUCCCUGGAGUAACUGGGGGUUAGGGGCCUUGCUCAGCGGCCCAGUGGUGAUAUCAUUUCACCAGCUAGGGAAUUUGAAACUGCAACUUUCUGAUCGUAGGCACAGAGCAUAACCUGCAAGCCACAAGCUGUCAUUCAGCACCCAAAUGUAAUGACUAGAUAAAAGAGUUUGAGAAGAGUAUAUAUUUAUAAAGGCAUACAGGGACACAUUUAUUUAAUACAUUUAUUUGGCAGUCAAUCACAAACAUGAGUCAAGUCAGUCAAUUUACUGUAUAGUGAAAUCGUAUAACUAGCAACCCAAUAAGUACGCAUGGGCAUCGUUAGGUCUGAUCAGUAUUUUUAAGCCGAGCCUCGAGUAUUUUAGCCCCAAUGCCAAUCUUCCUUCCAAAAAAAAAUCAAAAAGCCAAACCCCAGGUAAACUUGACUUCAAUAGCUAGAAACACCCCUGUAAGUAUGUACUUACCUGCUUUAAUAUUUAUGGUCCUGAAACAUGUUAUUGCCCUCUCUAUCUGAUGCAAUGUUGAAUGGCUGAUCCCUCACCAUAUGACACUAGAUACAGCGAUGCACUGCGGAACAAUAAUGAAAAACAUUCCCUUGUUUAUCAGAGUCCCCGCCCACUCCAGCAAUUUGAUUGGUGCAAGGAUCCCAUGUGGGCCACACAGCACAGCCUGUAAAAGUAAAUAUCAGCAUGAUGUGAGACAACAGUUGUCAAAACUGACAUCAUUUCAAACUGACCCCAUAGUCCAGUGCUUCCUGGGUUACGCUCUUCAGUUUGUCCUUGAUCUUCUCAGAGGCCAUCAACUGCAAAAGCUCCUCCACUUCCCUAGCAGAAAUUCCUGCCUUCAUCGCAGCCUGGAGUUAAAAUGACAAAAAUGAGAUAAAGGGCCUGCAGAGAUUUACACAGCAGCAGCGAUGAAGAUACUGCUCCAACUGGCACCUGAGAGAGCGAGGCAGGCAGGGUGAUGUCUUCGUCUCGACACCAGAUCCUCAUCCACAUCUCCCUGGAGACUCUCUCCACACUCGGCUCAUCAGCUCCGUAUCUCUCUCCCACAGCAGUUACGAAGCGCAUAGCUGCAAGUGAACCUGGCGACCCAGGUACAGAAAGGAAUCAGACCGAGUUCAGCUGGAUACCACUAACGGAACUUCCGUACUUCCAGGAGAGUUUGUACACCUAUAUCAUCAUCCAGCUAAGAAAACAGGACUAAAAACGAUAGUUUUGUUAUUUUUAAUUAACAACCCAUAAAUAAUGACCACACAAAUUACAUUUGUUGCAUUGGUAUUCUUCUUCUUCAUCUUAUUAUUAUUAUUAUUAGUUGUAGUAAUAGUGGUACAUAAAAUGAAGAGGAAAAGUGGGGUACCCUUCCGGAACAUGACCUCAGCAGGAUCGGUAGGAAAACUAAGGGGAACCGUAAAGUACUCAGCCAGCCGAAGUAGGUCUGUUCCCAUGUAGUGAAACUUGUUAGGGAUUAACCCAGGGGGGUUAUUGCCUGUGGAAGGCCAUAAACGGAAGUCAACAUGUUAUGUUUAUACAGUGAACCUUACAAUGCAUCAACAGACUGUAAUAGCUACUAAUGCGUUUAUUUUUUUAUUAUUAUUAUUAUUAUUAUUAUUAUUAUUAUUAUUAUUAUUCAUUUUCGUUUACACUCCUCUACCUGCUGCAAAGUUAAAAUGUUCAAAUAUCGCUAUUUACCGGACCCCUUCAUGACCCCUCCUAAAAAUGCAGGGCGAAGUUUAAGGUCAAUGUUCCAAACAGCUCUGUAUCGACAGAGAACCUACAGGAAGAAACAAAAAAAACCUUUAAAACUAACUGAUCGUCAAAUUAAUGUCUAAACAAAACAUAUUAAAAUUUGACAUUUCGUUUCAUCAUUUUCUGAAUAUUCACCUGCCAACAAAGACAAACACUAACCUCGAAUCCCAGCCAGGAGUAAGGGGAGACGACAUCAUAAAACAGCUCGAUUACUUUCCGGGAAGCCAUUAUCUGGAAAUGAUUUUAGAGUAUGUAACAGGUACUAAUGUAAAUUCUAUAUAUAUGAAUGCGCCUUUAAACAAUGUUAUCAUCUCUUGCUGAAGUAUUAUCCUUCGCAGCUGUAACUAUACCUAACAGUAUCGUUUCGUGCAAACAUUAAAUCACUUAACGUAGCAAUGCAAUGUACUUUUUUUGUGUUUUACCAUGUGGUAUUACUAUGUUUAACGCAUUAAAGUCGCUGUUUGUCUAUACUUACUUAACUCGUACUUGUGAGAGAAGACGGUACCAAAGGUUACCCCGGAUAUGAACGGAUUGGACUACGGGCGCCUCUUCCUGUACACUAUCACAAUGCGGUUUUCUCCUUGAGAAACGAUCGCUGCAGACAGAGAGAAUGAGGGAUCCUAAAGCUGUAUCUACUGCUGUGAAUGAGUGAUGAUACUAGGAAAGAGGAAGAGGAUCUGGUCAAGAAGUGCAUGUGUUGGCUUACAGGACUUUGGUGUGCAUCAGUACAUCAGAGCGCUGAACUGACUUUGGAUCUGAAACAUUCUCUGUAGAUCUUCGUUUCCAGGUCUCUCUCCAUGAUGUCGUAACUCUCUGUAGCUUGUCCUGGCUCACAUAAGCUGGGACUAAUGGCAGCGAACUUCUCCAAAGGCGGAUCUAUCCAGUAGCCUCCGCAUUUAGGGGGAAUGAUCAAAGGGAGGACCCCACUAAUUUUUAAAAGCUGUGAUUAAAGAAAAAAAAAGUGGGAAAUCUUAGCAUUGCUACCCAUUUACUCUGCAAUCUAACAUACUUAAGGUUUUGGAAUCAAGUUCUUGCAAGUGAACGCAUGACCAUCUCACACAGAGCUGGACAUCUUGAAUGUUUCGUUAUAACGAUCCUACCUUCACGGGAGGAGGGAAUUCGCAGCGCUGCUCGUCAAGCCGACUUCCCUAAUGGAAAAAGCUCGGCAUCCUUGACCAGAAGAGGAGGAAGCAAAUGUCAGUCGACACAGAAGUAGUUUCACGUGGUGGAAUCCUCAGUUAAAAAGCAGAAGCUUACCCUCUGGCCGGAAG